UACGAAGGGGGCUAGCGUUGCUCGGAAUCACUGGGCGUAAAGGGCGCGUAGGCGGUCCCUCAAGUCAGGCGUGAAAGCCCCGGGCUCAACCUGGGAACCGCGCUUGAGACUGAUGGGCUAGAGUUCGGGAGAGGAUGGUGGAAUUCCCAGUGUAGAGGUGAAAUUCGUAGAUAUUGGGAAGAACACCGAUGGCGAAGGCAGCCAUCUGGACCGACACUGACGCUGAGGCGCGAAAGCGUGGGGAGCAAACAGG
rnacentral:rRNA from 1 species